UAGCUCAGUUGAUUGAGCGUGGUGCUGAUAACACUAAGGUCCCAGGUUCGAUUCCUGU
rnacentral:tRNA from 1 species